GAUCACUCAAUGAAGCCACAACCCUGAUAGCCACCUUACCUAUAACUUACUGUCAAUCUACGUCCGCAAUUUGAAGCAAACUUGACGGAAAGAGUUGGCAAAGCGAGCGAUUACCUAUUAGUUACCU